CUGGGUCCUCAGCCCAGGAAUCCCAUGAGGCCGGACAGCAUCCUCCCAAAACGGAACUCAGUCCCCUGUCUCCUGUAACCAAAGGAAGCCACGGGGCCAGAGGAGUCCGGCCUUUCCAGAUCUCGCCUGCCGUGGUCCUGUCACAAGGAGGAUGCUUGCUGGCCAAGCAGGCAGAGCCUCAGGGUCUUCCUCUGACAGACUGCCUGGCAGCUGAAGCCCCCUCACCCGGGAUCGCCGACGCUUGUAACCGAUGGAUCAAUAAGUCUCCCGAGGCCCCCGGGGAGGCCCCCACAUCCCUGCUGCCCCUCUCCAGUUGCAGAAUUAAAAGGCAAGCUUGUUGUUGGCGUUGUAAUGAGCUAUGUGCCCGGGGCUCCUGUUACAAGGAGCUGAGAGCCCGUUCCUCCUUAGGCUGGGGUCAGAGGCCUCUUGCUCCUUCCUGAGAUGGGUGGGUCUCAGGAUGUGGUAGCAGCUGCCACGGGUCCCCU
rnacentral:lncRNA from 1 species